rnacentral:lncRNA from 1 species
GGGAAGCGAACGCGAGCUUCCCUUUGGCCAGCGCGGCUGCCAAUCAAGCGCUGCGGUCCCGCCUCCCUCCUCCCCUCUCCCCCCCUCCCCGCGGUGCCGCUCGUGUCCGGCCGGCCGGAGCCGAGCGGAGCCGAAGGGAGCCGAGCGGAGCCGAGCGGCCGCCCCGCGCCCCCGCCCUCCCCUGCCCUCCCCUGCCCGCCGCGCCCGGUGCAGGUAUCGGCGCUGUGCUACAUUAAAAUAAAACUGAAUAAAUCCCGCACCGAGCCGGGGGGACGCCUCCAGGCGUGCUUAGCUCCGGGACGGGGCUCCUACCAGCGGGCCUCUGAUGACUGUCACGGUGCUUUUUUGCUUCUCUGCUCUCCAGAGAAGGGACACGGGCUGUUGCUCCAUCCCUUGACUUUAACCACCGAGUUGGGAAUGCUUCACUCUGCUUCAUUUCAUCAGCCCGUAAGUCCUGCUUGGGUAUACACAGUGUCAUUUAUCUUAUUUUCUAGCCUUUUCAUUGAAAAUACAUCUGUUUUUAAAUCUUAAGUAAUGCUCUCGAGUCUGCACUCCAAUGGAUUAGGCUGAAUGUUACCACCGUGCUUCCAGUGCGUUGGCUUCGCAGUUCCCCGUUUUGGUGCUGUUCCCCGCCACGCACACGGUGUUGGGCCCACUCCUGUCCCCCUCUAUUGUCCUGUACGGCGUCUGGGUUUGAAUGCAGGAAGAGUGGGAGGGGAACUUUAGGGAUUGGAGAUGCUAUCUGUGUACGAGCAUGCAUGUGUGUGUUCUGGGGGUGGUGCUGAGCAGUUGUGGUCAGGCUGAAAUUACCAGCACGUUCGCUAAGGACAGGAAAUGAUGCUAAGGCUCUGAUAGAGUUGCCUUAUUGCAACGCUGUGUGUGUGGCUCACUCAUUUGCUUUCGCAAAAGUAAGUAUGCGGUAUUAUAUACAAAACCUCCUUUUUCUGGUAGCUGUGUGUAUGUCGUCUUACAGAAUUGGGUCUAGUUAAAAUAGCUUCUAUUAUAAACCAAUGCGUGUAUGUCUAAUAGGCGUGUAUCUAAUAUUUCCUUCAUUAGUCACAUUCUGUUGGUUUUAUUUCAUGCUGUGUAGAAAUUAGGGUGAAUUGUGACAUUGUGGCAGUCUUGGAUCAUAUGGUUUCUAAUUGUAAGAAUGAGUUUUCAGUUGCUA